AACGAACGCUGGCGGCAUGCCUAACACAUGCAAGUCGAACGAGACCUUCGGGUCUUGUGGCGCACGGGUGCGUAACGCGUGGGAACCUGCCCUUAGGUUCGGAAUAACUCCCCGAAAGGGGUGCUAAUACCGGAUAAUGUCUUCGGACCAAAGAUUUAUCGCCUUUGGAUGGGCCCGCGUUGGAUUAGCUAGUUGGUAGGGUAAUAGCCUACCAAGGCGACGAUCCAUAGCUGGUCUGAGAGGAUGAUCAGCCACACUGGGACUGAGACACGGCCCAGACUCCUACGGGAGGCAGCAGUGGGGAAUAUUGGACAAUGGGGGAAAGCCUGAUCCAGCAAUGCCGGGUGAGUGAUGAAGGCCUUAGGGUUGUAAAGCUCUUUUACCCGGGAUGAUAAUGACAGUACCGGGAGAAUAAGCGCCGGCUAACUCCGUG
rnacentral:rRNA from 1 species